rnacentral:lncRNA from 1 species
UUUCAAGCUCCUUACGGUUUCAAAAGAUGAAGAUGUGUUCCUACCCGUAGUGUGGUACUUGCAAUAUUGGAGACAUGUGGGAGGGGAGAAGGGCCAGUCUCUUUCGCAUAAAGUAGCAGCGUAUUUAGUCAAAUAUAAAUAUAAAUCAGGCAUCUACCUUAUCUACCUUAUUGCACAGAAGCCUGGAAAACAGAGCUUGGCAAUUACCCACCUGGAGUUAGACAACAAUGGCCAAACUGGAUAAUUCCAAUUACAGAUAAUUUGUUGGUUUAAAUCAUUUGAUUUAAAUAAAGGAAAUGUCUGCUGAGCUUUAGACCUACGUAAGUCAUUUGCAGGCUUGACCCUGAGCCUGGAGGAUAUGGGAGAUUAUCGAUGGCAAAGUAAUGGACCAGAAUGAGCACAAAAACAGCUGAUGGGAGAAUCGGAAAAUAUGUGUUGGUAUCGACUAUAUGAUUACCUGUAUCCAGUAUACCAGCGCUCAGUGUGGAUGCUCGAGUGUGAGCCUUCGGUGACGUGUGUACCUGUCCUCCGGGAUGCAUUCCCAGCAGGACUGAGAGCUGGAUACCUGGUCCAUGGUCUACUCGUCACCCUGUGA